GACGAACGCUGGCGGCGUGCUUAACACAUGCAAGUCGAACGGAAAGGCCCUGCUUUUGUUGGGUUCUCGAGUGGCGAACGGGUGAGUAACACGUGAGUAACCUUCCCUCGUCUUUGGGAUAACUUCAGGAAACUGGGGCUAAUACCGGAUAUGAGCUCCUGCUCCAUGGUGGUGUUUGGAAAGUUUCGGCGGUUGGGGAUGGACUCGCGGCUUAUCAGCUUGUUGGUGGGGUAGUGGCUUACCAAGGGUUUGACGGGUAGCCGGCCUGAGAGGGUGACCGGGGAAAAGGGGAGUGAGAUAGGGCGCAGAAGGGAACGGGAGGCAGGAGGGGGGAAUAUUGAACAAUGGGGGGAAGGGUGAUGAAGAAACGCAGGGAGCGGGAAGAAGGCAUUGGGGUGGUAAAAAGAAUUAGAAUGUGAAGAAGAGUGAGUGACGGUAAUGGGUAAAGAAGCACCGGCUAACUACGUG
rnacentral:rRNA from 1 species